ensembl:misc_RNA Metazoa_SRP Metazoan signal recognition particle RNA
GCUGGGCAUGGUGGUGCCUGCCUGUAGUCCUAGCUACUCAGGAGGCUGAGGUGGGAGGAUAGCUUGAGCCCAGGAGUUUGAGUCCAGCCUGGGCAACAUGGUAAGACCCUAUCUCUU